rnacentral:lncRNA from 1 species
GUGAACACACCGCCAUAGUGACGGUACUGGGCAGCAUCACUCAUCUUCUGUGAGGAAAGCAGGCACAAUGUUCGUAAAGGAGAGUGCUCAAAUUUCAACAACAGGCAACAGCCCCACAGUGAGAGGGACUGAAGUUGCCCGAACCUGUACAUCAUCGAAGAGUAAGCCAGUGUAUAGUUUUCACCUGUACAGUGGAGGCUAGAAUCUGCUCCUCAAAGAAAGAGAACUAUACUUCAUCAGAGCAAGACGAUAAUCUGUACCGGAGCAACAGAUAUCUGUACUUUUAAACAUCCCUGAUGAGUUAUACUGGUACAAGAAACAAACUGAAGAACACUUAAAGUAGCCCCAAGGCUGUCGUGACAACACAGCUCACAAAUUUCCUGUUUUUCCAAAUGCACUUCAGGUCAGUUGGAGUCAUCUGAAUGCAGUACGAGGAAAAGUGUGUCCAGCGUGAUCUCGGAGCAAACGGGUUGCAUAUGAAGAAACCCAUGCAUAUCUGUAGUGACUUGGAGCUUCCCGAUUCUGUGGCAAAACACGAGCAUCUGCAACCACAUGUUGUGUAAUGGACACAUUUUCAUCCCGAUGCUGUAAUGCAGUGUCUGCUACCUUUAAUUUCCCAAUUCAAUGGUAUAUUGCUGCAUCAUUCAAUCAUUAAUAUAUACAAAUCUUUUUUCUAACCAUUCUUUCAGGUAUGACCCCUCUCCUGGAAGCAAACCACAUGGUUAGCUCCCCAUGUUUAGUGUGGAACCAGGUCAUAAAAGCCUACCACUGACCAGAAGCAGAAUCUGGUCCCCCUCAAUAAAUGCAUAAGAAGUCUAGGAAUUCUAUAUCAACCCACUAGCCCUUCCUAGUUCUGUUUUUCAGGCAAGUGUUGACAAUUCUUUUGGACUUGUCCUGUAGGAGCAUGUUAUCACAACUGUUCAGAUUAAUAUGCAGAUUCAAUGAGAUGUCUGUGUGCCUCAUUUCUUGUGUGGACCUUGAGGGAAGGGAACUGGUGAUUGAAUGCUGACCUGCAGGAAGAGAUACGGUCGUGCUACCGUAAAGCCCAAGUGGUUGGACAUCAUUUUCUCAUACAUAUAACUGCUAAGAUUGGUUUUCAGCGGUGCCGUCUUAUGUCAGAAUUACUCGAUGCACAUCUUACACCUGGCGAACCUGAGCUCUCCAUUUCUCCUUGGUCACCUUUACAGAUCAAUGUGUUUAUGCCUGACUCUUCAGAGAAACAGAUACCCAGAGCUGCCCAUUCUUGGGCUGAGAGGGCAGGAAUCAUAAAGUCAUCUAAACACGCCAAGAAAAACACAGCUGACAAAAAAUAGGAGAUGGUUAUUUGCAGCAUGCACCUUUCCUAAGAAAGCCUUCAGUUUCCCCUGGUACACAUAAUAUCAAUAAGGAACUAAUCUCAUUGAAUGCGAGAUACGGUGACGAAACAUUUGCUACCCUAUUACCCGAGUUGAACACCAUAAUUGUACGAACCAAGACCCUGAAAAAUAUAAUAUCAAAAGCUCUUGGUUAGUACUGUAUAAUUUAGAUCACAAUGUUGCCUUUGAUGCUGAUUUUGACAGAUCCUUUAUUCAGGACUUAAUGGAAGAGGUUCAUAGAGACACCUAAAUUGCAAAGUGUUGCUGUUCAGCAUUUUGUUGAUCAUGUAGCCCUGCUUACCGUGCUUAUUGUUGCGAUCACUAGCCUACAAGAUUGGGCAGUGACUUUCAUCACUGAAGAUGAAGAUGACUUUAUUAAGACUGAACAAGACAUUUUGUUAAAGGAACAUAGACUCCACUACUGUGGAAAUGCUUACCUGCUUUCCAGAAUACUAGUAGCCAUACCAUCUACAAGCCUAUUCUUAAAGACUACCAAGAUCUA